rnacentral:misc_RNA from 1 species
ACAAACUUGGUCAUUUAGAGGAAGUAAAAGUCGUAACAAGGUUUCCGUAGGUGAACCUGCGGAAGGAUCAUUGAAGAUUUAACAAUCCUACUCACCUCGUGUGCAGCCUUUACCAAGUCUGAUAUCCUUGGAGAGGUCAUCAUUAGUGAACUCUCCAAGGAGGUUAUCAUGAUCAAUGUAUUAUCUUUUCUUUUCUAUGUCUAUCUAAAUCAAUAAAUGUAAUUAAAAACAACUUUCAACAACGGAUCUCUUGGCUCUCGCAUCGAUGAAGAACGCAGC